GAUGAACGCUGGCGGCGUGCCUAAUACAUGCAAGUCGAGCGAACAGACGAGUAUCUUGCUCCUCUGACGUUAGCGGCGGACGGGUGAGUAACACGUGAAUAACCUACCUAUAAGACUGGGAUAACUUCGGGAAACCGUAGCUAAUACCGGAUAAUAUAUUGAACCGCAUGGUUCAAUAGUGAAAGACGGUUUUGCUUUCACUUAUAGAUGGAUCCGCGCCGCAUUAGCUAGUUGGUAAGGUAACGGCUUACCAAGGCAACGAUGCGUAGCCGACCUGAGAGCGUGAACGGCCACACUGGAACUGAGAGACGGCACAGACUCCUACGGGAGGCAGCAGUAGGGACUCUUCCGAAAUGGGCGAAAGCCUGCAGGAGCAAUGCAGCGUGAGUGCAGAAGGUCUUCGGAUCGUAAAACUGUGUUAUUAGGGAAGAACACAUGUGCAAGUAACUAUGCACGUCUUGACGGUACUUAAUCAGAAAGCAACGGCUAACUACGUG
rnacentral:rRNA from 1 species